rnacentral:lncRNA from 1 species
AGAUGAGCCUUGGCGCAGGGUAAGGUUGCUUCAUUGUGACUUGGAGGACAUGGAUUUGAAAUACGGAAAUAGCCUCUCUGCAUGUAGGGGUAAGGCUGAAUACAUUUGACCCUUCCUAGAUCUCGUCAUGGUGAGAGCCUUAUGCAUUUGGCUGCCCUUUUAUUAAAGAUUACAAAGUCUCAAUUUGUAAAACAGAUUUAGUGACAAUUGGUGCCAAAUGGAAAGACAAAAUGCAAGGAAUGGCUAAGAAAGUUCCCCAUUGGUAGCACAAAGUAAGAUUAAAGACCAAAGCUUGAUUUCACAUGCCAUUCUUGAGGAAUAAAUUGUCUCCAAGAAGUGACAUUUCUGAUUAUAUUAUUAACAAUUACUUUGGCUGCAUAUUCCUAUAAUUUUCCACUAAGUGUUCAUCAAAUUGACUGCAAAUUUUGCCAUAUGAUAUUCUUUCAUUGAUUUUCGGCCAACUUAGAUCUUCCACUCCUAUGUUUUGUGGAUUCCAUUCUUAAUGAGAUUUACAUUUA